rnacentral:rRNA from 1 species
AACGAACGCUGGCGGCAUGCCUAACACAUGCCAGUCGAACGAGACCUUCGGGUCUAGUGGCGAACGGGUGCGUAACGCGUGGGAACCUGCCCUUAGGUUCGGAAUAACUCCCCGAAAGGGGUGCUAAUACCGGAUAAUGUCUUCGGACCAAAGAUUUAUCGCCUUUGGAUGGGCCCGCGUUGGAUUAGCUAGUUGGUAGGGUAAAAGCCUACCAAGGCGACGAUCCAUAGCUGGUCUGAGAGGAUGAUCAGCCACACUGGGACUGAGACACGGCCCAGACUCCUACGGGAGGCAGCAGUGGGGAAUAUUGGACAAUGGGCGAAAGCCUGAUCCAGCAAUGCCGCGUGAGUGAUGAAGGCCUUAGGGUUGUAAAGCUCUUUUACCCGGGAUGAUAAUGACAGUACCGGGAGAAUAAGCUCCGGCUAACUCCGUG